AUUGAACGCUGGCGGCAGGCCUAACACAUGCAAGUCGAGCGGAUGAAGGGAGCUUGCUCCUGGAUUCAGCGGCGGACGGGUGAGUAAUGCCUAGGAAUCUGCCUGGUAGUGGGGGAUAACGUCCGGAAACGGGCGCUAAUACCGCAUACGUCCUGAGGGAGAAAGUGGGGGAUCUUCGGACCUCACGCUAUCAGAUGAGCCUAGGUCGGAUUAGCUAGUUGGUGGGGUAAAGGCCUACCAAGGCGACGAUCCGUAACUGGUCUGAGAGGAUGAUCAGUCACACUGGAACUGAGACACGGUCCAGACUCCUACGGGAGGCAGCAGUGGGGAAUAUUGGACAAUGGGCGAAAGCCUGAUCCAGCCAUGCCGCGUGUGUGAAGAAGGUCUUCGGAUUGUAAAGCACUUUAAGUUGGGAGGAAGGGCAGUAAGUUAAUACCUUGCUGUUUCGACGUUACCAACAGAAUAAGCACCGGCUAACUUCGU
rnacentral:rRNA from 1 species